AAAACUUUAACGGUUGAACAAACCGCCUUAAUAAGAUACUGCUCCUAUUAGGUAUUUUAAUUCAACAUCGAGGUCGUAAACUAAUAUAUUAAUAUGAACUCUCCAUAUUAAUUACG
rnacentral:rRNA from 1 species